CUAGUGGCUUGUACUAUAGCACAGCCUGCCUUUGCUGGUGUAUGGCGAUUAGGCCUGGUGGAACUGCCAUCAAUAAACCAAGUGUGAUCAGGGCUUCUGAGGUGAUCGGGCAGCAUCAGUCUUCAGCCGCUAAGCUGAGAAGAUCUCGGAAGGAGUCAGUCAGAGAGCCUUGGGCCAGAGUUCCAGGGGAUCUGGGAGUGGCUGCCAGGCGCAAAACCCUUUCCUGAAUAAUUGUGACAAAGUAAUCUUUUGAAAAAGAGAGAGUUGAAAAAAGAAUCUUCAAAAGGGGACAGUGAUGAUGAAGGCGCAGGAAGGAGAAGGAGACUCUAUGUCAGUCAGGAAAUCUGCAGGCUAGUGGUUCUCAACGAGAAGAGAUUUUGCCUCCCAGGAGCAUUUGGCAACGUCUGAAGGUAUUUUUGUUCGUUUGUUUCAACUGGAGCAGUGCUCCCGCCAGGUAGUGGAAAGAGCCCAUGGAUGCCAGUAAACAUCCUACCACACACAAGUCAGCCUCUCAAAAUUAUCCAGCCCAAAAUAUCAGUAGAGACAAGGUUGAGAAAUCCUAUUCUAUGCCCACUCACCUUAUGAAAACACAUUUGGCAGGAGUAAGUAAAUACCUUUUCAUAUUAAGUUUCUGUUCAUUGCUUUGAUUACUUCUCCAUCACUGAAAGUACAAGUCAGGCAUCUAUAAUGUCCCCAUUUUACAUACACACUAGAAAAUAUAGUGAAUAUAGUAUCUGUAUUAGCAUAUUUGUUAUUUUCAAAAACAGAAUAAAAAUAUGGUUCAAAAGAGUAUUUAGGAAGAUGAGUUCCCCGGUCCAUUUGGGUUCAAUUUAAACACAUUGAACAUCAGUCCUCCUAAUUACUAACUGUGUAACAUUAAACUAGUUAGUUAGCCAAGACUCAGAUCUAUACUUCUUGAACAGGAUGAAAUAAUAGUUCCUAACUUAUAAAAUUAUUGUGCUAAAUGAUAUAAUCCAUGUAAAUCAAUCAAUACUAUAUCUAGCAAAAAAAAGCAAAUAUAUAUUGUUAUUAACAUAGAACUUUAAAUGUAAGCUAAAGAAAAUAAAAGCUAUAUCUCAAUACUACUGAAUAAUACACUUAGAAAUAGUUAAGAUAGAUUCCUGGACAAGAUGGCCCAACAGGAACAUCUCUGGUCUGCGGCUCCCAGCGAGAUCAAGGCAGAAGGUGGGUGAUUUCUGCAUUUCCAACUGAGGUACCUGACUCAUCUCACUGGGACUGAUUAGACAGUGGGUGCAGCCCACAGAGGGCAAGCAGAAGCAGGGUGGGGUGUUGCCUCACCUGGGAAGCACAAGGGGUCAAGGAACUCCCUCCCCUAGCCAAAAGAAGUCAUGAGAGACUGUGCUGUGAGGGAUGGUGCUAUCUCACCCAGAUACUAUACUUUUCCCACUAUCUUUGCAACCCGCAGACUAGGAGAUUCCCUGGGGUGCCUACACCACCAGGGCCCUGGGUUUCAAGCACAAAAACAAGCAGCCAUUUGGGCAGACACCAAGCUAGCUGCAGGAGUUUUUUUUUCAUCCCAGUGGCACCUGGAAUGCCAGCGAGACAGAACCCUUCACUCUCCUGGAAAGGGGGCUGAAGCCAGGGAGCCAAGUGGUCUAGCUCAGCGGAUACCACCCCCAAGAAGCCCUUCAAGCUAAGGUCCAUUGGCUUGAAAUUCUUGCUGCCAGCACAGCAGUUUGAAGUCGACCUGGGAUGCUUGAGCUUGGUGGGGGGAGGGGUGUCAGCAAUUACUGAGGAUUGAGUAGGUGGUUUUCCCCUCACAGUGUAAACAAAGAACUUCCAACUGGGCGGAGCCUACUGCAACUCAGCAAAACCUCUGUAGCCACACUGCCUCUCUAGAUUCCUCCUCUCUCGGUGGGGCAUCUCUGAAAGAAAGGCAGCAGCCCCAGUCAGGGGCUUAUAGACAAAACUCUGAUCUCCCUGAGACAGAGCACCUAGGGGAAGCAGUGGCUGUGGAAGCAGCUUCAACAGACUUAAACAUUCCUACCUGCCAGCUCUGAAGAGAGCAGUAGAUCUCCCAGCACAGUGCUUGAGCUCUGCUAAGGGACAGACUGCCUCCUCAAGUGGGUCCCUGACCCCUGUGCCUCCUGACUGGGAGAAAUCUCCCAGCAGGGAUCGAUAGACACUUCAUACAGGAGAGCUCUGGCUGGCAUCUGGCGGGUGCCCCUCUGAAACAAAGCUUCCAGACAAAGGAGCAGGCAGCAAUAUUUGCUGUUCUGCAGCCUCUGCUGGUGAUACCCAGGCAAACAGGGUCUGGAGUGGACCUCCAGCAAACUCCAGCAGACCUGAAGCAGGGGGUCUGACUGUUAGAAGGAAAACUAACAAACAGAAAAGAAUAGCAUCAACAUCAACAAAAAGGACGUCCACACAUAAACCACAUAUGAAGAUCACCGACAUCAAAGACCAAAGGUAGAUAAAUCCAUGAACAUGAGGGAAAAAAAAGGUGCAAAAAAGCUGAAAAUUCCAAAAACCAGAAUGCCUCCUCUACUCCAAAGGAUCACAACUCCUCGCCAGCAAGGGAACAAAACUGGAUGGAGAAUGAGUUUCACAAAUUGACAGAACUAGGCUUCAGAAGGUGGGUAAUAACAAACAAACUCCUCCGAGCUAAAGGCGCAAGUUCUAACCCAAUGCAAAAAAGCUAAGAACCUUGAAAAAAGGUUAGAGGAAUUGCUAACUGGAAUAACCAGUUUAAAGAAGAACGUAAUUGACCCGGUAAAGCUGAAAAACACAGCACGGGAACUUUGCGAAGCAUACAGAAGUAUCAGUAGUCAAAUCAACCAAGUGGAAGAAAGGAUAUCACAGACUGAAGAGCAACUUAAUGAAAUAAAGCAUGAAGACAAGAUUAG